ACUUUUAUAAGCAAUUUGUCAAGAUAAAUUCAAGAUAAAUUCAACUAAAAAGGGAAACUUUUUAUAAACUCUUUUAUAAACUUUGCAAACAAACUUGACCAACUGUUCCCUGGCAUACUACAGCUGUAGAACGGUAUAGCAAUUUAAAAUAACAAAAGAGGGCCGUUGUCAUUCACACCUUCUGAUUGGAUUAACUGAGCCAUUACAAUCAAUAUCAAAGACCUGUAAACGGCAUUACCAUGGCAACACCAGCAAUGGGGACUGGAGCUCACACCUUUUCCUACCCCCCAGACAUCAAGUCUGAGAAGAGCAGACAACAACACAAGCUCAAAACUCAGAAGGAAAACCCAGAAACACUGUUUAAAGAUACUUUAAACAAAAAAGACCCAGAGAACAGACACCUGACAAUAAACUUUUAUCAAAAUGGAACGGUAAUGAUACAGGGAAACAGUGCUGCCCUCACAAACUUUGA